rnacentral:rRNA from 1 species
AUUGAACGCUGGCGGCAUGCUUUACACAUGCAAGUCGAACGGUAACAGGCCUUCGGGUGCUGACGAGUGGCGAACGGGUGAGUAAUGCAUCGGAACGUACCCAGAGGUGGGGGAUAACGCAGCGAAAGCUGUGCUAAUACUGCAUGUGAUCUGAGGAUGAAAGCGGGGGACCGAGCAGCAAUGUUUGGCCUCGCGCCUUUGGAGCGGCCGAUGUCGGAUUAGCUAGUUGGUGGGGUAAAGGCCUACCAAGGCGACGAUCCGUAGCUGGUCUGAGAGGACGACCAGCCACACUGGGACUGAGACACGGCCCAGACUCCUACGGGAGGCAGCAGUGGGGAAUUUUGGACAAUGGGCGCAAGCCUGAUCCAGCAAUGCCGCGUGCGGGAAGAAGGCCUUCGGGUUGUAAACCGCUUUUGGCAGGAACGAAACGGUGUCCGCUAAUACCAGGCGCUAAUGACGGUACCUGCAGAAUAAGCACCGGCUAACUACGUG